rnacentral:rRNA from 1 species
CCUAGGGUGGAGCAGUGGGGAAUAUUGGACAAUGGGCGAAAGCCUGAUCCAGCCAUGCCGCGUGUGUGAAGAAGGCCUUCGGGUUGUAAAGCACUUUCAGUGGGGAAGAAAGCCUUGGGGCUAAUACCCUCGAGGAAGGACAUCACCCACAGAAGAAGCACCGGCUAACUCCGUGCCAGCAGCCGCGGUAAUACGGAGGGUGCGAGCGUUAAUCGGAAUUACUGGGCGUAAAGCGCGCGUAGGCGGUCUGAUAAGCCGGUUGUGAAAGCCCCGGGCUCAACCUGGGAACGGCAUCCGGAACUGUCAGGCUAGAGUGCAGGAGAGGAAGGUAGAAUUCCCGGUGUAGCGGUGAAAUGCGUAGAGAUCGGGAGGAAUACCAGUGGCGAAGGCGGCCUUCUGGACUGACACUGACGCUGAGGUGCGAAAGCGUGGGUAGCAAACAGGAUUAGAUACCCGGGUAGUC